rnacentral:miRNA from 1 species
GGCGGGGCUCGGAGCCGGG